UGAUGAUGUUGAUGUGCCUAAAACUGUAAACUGUCUUUUUUUUUUGGUUAUUUUUGAAUUUUUUUGGUGGGAUUUUAUUGAUAAAUAUGAGAUUUUGAUUUUUCUGUUAAUGAGUGUUGUCGGAUUUUAAUUUUGAGCUAGUAGCACUAAGAUCAUUGGUUGAUAUGCAACUUUUCUUUUUGGGUAUCUUAGAGGAUGUGGGUGCUAGAAUCUGGAG
rnacentral:misc_RNA from 1 species